UACGGAGGGGGCGAGCGUUAUUCGGAAUUAUUGGGCGUAAAGGGCGCGUAGGCGGCUGUACAAGUCAAAGGUGAAAUCCCUCGGCUCAACUGAGGAACUGCCUUUGAAACUGUACGGCUUGAGGCCGGGAGGGGGUAGCGGAAUUCCCAGUGUAGCGGUGAAAUGCGUAGAUAUCUGGAGGAACACCGGUGGCGAAGGCGGCAUCCUGGACCGGCAUUGACGCUGAGGAGCGAAAGCCAGGGGAGCAAACGGG
rnacentral:rRNA from 1 species